AGUCCAUCCAGGCAGCCGUCAUAGGGGGUCAGCACAAAUCAGAUGGAGGGGCUUUCUUGUGUCUGGCAGCCGACACUUUCAAAUGUUAAUGGAUGGGGGCGAACAAAGUUGAAGUGGGUCUGAAAAUGCUAAUUGUCCCUAAUUCAUGUAAAUAGGUUUCUUAAUGGAGGAAUUAAGCAUUUUAAAUAUGCAAUCGGAGGCAAUCAGUCCUUUCAUUUGGUGGGGUGGCACAGGUGUAGAGGAUUGAAAUUCAUCUUUCACACAGGGUGGCUCAUUUGUCAUUUGGCUGUGUUCAGGCAUGGAUGACGGGGACUGGAGGAGAGGUCCUUCUGCACUGUUAUGUACAGAUAUCGUUGGUGUGGAAAGACACCAGUGAUGGCAGCAGCCACAGCAAGCAGAAGUGACAAUUGGCUUGCAGAUUGCUGGAGUGCUUACAUCCUGUGGCCUUGAAGAAACACACAGAGCUGGCAACGUACAAGAGGCAUGAAGAAAGGAGGCAAAUGCGGGAAAGAAGAGAAGAGGAAAUGACACGGGUGGGUAAAGUAUUGCAUUUAAAUUUAGCAAAAAUGAGAAAAGAUAUAUUAACUGUUUAUUUUCUGACGUACUGUUCUUUAUUAUUACCUAUUUGGCAUCUCUGUCGGGUGCAUUAUGGAAAUGAAGUAAUGCUACUUUGCUUAACAAUAACACACUGACUUUGAAUCCUCUUACUUAAGGUUUGAUUGCUUCUUGACGGUGGUUUUAAAUGAAUUGUGUUGAGGAGUGAUAAAGAGCUUAUUGCCAGGAAUAAAAGCCCAGAGCAAUGAAGAAAAGCUACACAUGGAGUGGCUAGGCGAUACAGGCUAUUACGGUGAGGGAAUGGUGUCCUUGACUGCCAGGACGGCUUAGAAUUUUAUUUCAUCUUGUUUUGCUGGCUGCUGACAAUGAUGCGUGACUCUGGCACUGGAGGAAGAGGGCAAGCAUGAGAGCCAUUUUAGAUCUCAUUUACAUAUAGUGUGUCUAUAACAGCAUGAAAAUAACCGUGUUUGAAUGCGUGUGCAUAUGAACAUGCAAUGUGCACGUUUCAGGAGACAGGAAUACAGUAUGCCUGCAUGCAGGUGUAUUUGUGCAUUCAAGCAUUUUAAAAGUUUGUUUGUGAAUUUUCUACAGAGUGGUAUUUUAGGGAAAGUUAUGAUUAUCAUUCUCCUUGUGUUGCGUGUGUUUGUGAAUACACACUUGCUCUGACCUCUAUCACUCACAUGCGCUGAAGCCCCCAAACCUCAUGUAAAUUUGGACAAUGGGGGACUCUGGGAAUUGUUGUUUAUCAGCGCAGUGAAAAGAACGGUUGAGCUGUAAUGGCCCUCCAGUGGGUUCAGUAUGUAAACUUCUCUGUGCUGCAGCAGUUUGAGGCCUCCCCUCUGAGCUGCACAUCUCUGUGUUAUUUUGGUUGGCUGCUUGAUUCGGGUGGGAGCAGUUCAUUUGGAGGUUAUCGCUGCUUUUGUCAAGGUGAGUCAGUACUUUCGUUGCAUACAGUGGCACAAAUGAGGCAGCAACAUCUCCAAAGAAAAGCUCAUCUUUGCUGUUUCGUUUCUGACUAUGAAGUCCCAACAGAGCACAUUCAGCCUCCAAGGUUGUAACUUUUUAAAGAUAUUAAAGUUCCCCUCCAGACAUUUUUUAAGUAUGUAAAAAUACUCUAUGAUUAAUAUUUUGUUUAACAUGGUUUUCCCACAUAAAAAGUAAUAAAAAAAACUCUCUGAAAAUGGGCUGAAAGCACAUCUACUUUUUCUCCUGAUUGAAUCUGGCCGCUUCCCGCCCACAGAGUUGCCAAGUCUGCUUAUUAUAAGCGAUUUUGGGAUUGUUUUCCUCAAAAGUCGCAGACAAAUAUUGGUAGUUGUGUUUUUUUUGGGCUUGAUUCUAAAGUGUAGUUAUUUAUUUGGGAUUGCUCUUGUCUCUCUCCUCUAUACCUGUCUACUUUGUCCUGUUGAAGGAUCCGUACACACCUGUACAAAAUCUGCCCCCCCCUUUCUCCCAUACGCACGCAGCCAUCGGUGUGUGAAUGAGGAUUUAGAUUAGAUGCUGAUGGGCAAAGUUGGCACCUUGCACCAUCAGUGUAUGAAUGUGUGUGAAUGAGUGAAUGCUGACACACUAUA